rnacentral:rRNA from 1 species
UACGUAGGGGGCAAGCGUUGUCCGGAUUUAUUGGGCGUAAAGAGCGUGUAGGCGGUUUGGUAGGUCCGCUGUGAAAACUCGAGGCUCAACCUCGAGACGCCGGUGGAAACCAUCAGGCUAGAGUCCGGAAGAGGAGAGUGGAAUUCCUGGUGUAGCGGUGAAAUGCGCAGAUAUCAGGAGGAACACCGAUGGCGAAGGCAGGUCUCUGGGCCACUACUGACGCUGAGAAGCGAAAGCAUGGGGAGCGAACAGG